UUUCCGUAGGUGAACCUGCGGAAGGAUCAUUCCUAAUACGUGUUUUAUGGCACUUUUUUAAAUCCAUAUCCACCUUGUGUGCAAUGUCAGGGUUGAUUUUUCUCUCGAGAGGAUCAACACCAAACAUCAACUAUAUCUCAACUCUAUGUCUGAAAAAUAUUUUGAAUAAAACAAUUCAAAAUACAACUUUCAACAACGGAUCUCUUGGCUCUC
rnacentral:misc_RNA from 1 species